rnacentral:rRNA from 1 species
AUAGUAUAUAUUAAAGUUGUUGCAGUUAAAAAGCUCGUAGUUGAAACUUGGGUGCGUAGGGGCGGUCUCUUUUAGAGUACUACCCUGAAACAUCUUUCUUUGGUGUAAACUUUCUAUUUAUUUAGGAAGUGUAAACCAAACAUUUACUUUGAAAAAAUUAGAGUGUUCAAAGCAGGCCUUUGCUCGAAUAUAUUAGCAUGGAAUAAUAGAAUAGGACGUAUGGUUCUAUUUUGUUGGUUUCUAGGACCGUCGUAAUGAUUAAUAGGGACGGUCGGGGGCAUCAGUAUUCAGUUGUCAGAGGUGAAAUUCUUGGAUUUACUGAAGACUAACUACUG